UACGGAGGGUGCAAGCGUUAAUCGGAAUUACUGGGCGUAAAGCGUGCGCAGGCGGUUUGUUAAGUCUGCUGUGAAAUCCCCGAGCUCAACUUGGGAAUUGCAGUGGAUACUGGCAAGCUGGAGUACGGUAGAGGAAGGUGGAAUUCCCGGUGUAGCAGUGAAAUGCGUAGAGAUCGGGAGGAACACCAGUGGCGAAGGCGGCGUCCUGGCCUGCGACUGACGCUGUGGCGCGAAAGCUAGGGGAGCGAACGGG
rnacentral:rRNA from 1 species